GGCCCACUAACAAAAAAUAAGGAAAGAGAAUAAGCUAGGAAAAAAAACCCCAAAAUCUGAAACGCCCGUGCUUGUGCGGUAGAGUUAGGGUUGGGCGAUUUUCGUCGGCGGCGCCCGGAUUCUGGCGGCGGGCGGCGUGCGAAGAGGCGAGCGACUGGCGUCGGGGGCAGAUUCUGUCACGGGCGGCUGGCGUCGGGGCAGCCGCGCGCACGCGGGCAGCGGGCGAAGAAGACGGGGCAGCCGUCGCGGUCUGCCGGUGGCGGGGCUACAUGGGGCUGCCGGCGUCGGUGCUGCAGGGGGCCGACGCGGACAGGGAAAAUCCUGGGGGAAGGCGGCCGGUGGCAGGGGGCGGUCGGCCGGCGGUGGGUGCAGGAGGUGGAGGCGCCUGACUUGGGACGUAUGGUCAGUUACAAAGUAAGGGAAGCAAUUGAAAGUAGCCAAGGUCGUGGUUAGAGAUAGUGACCAUGACCUGGAGGUUUCUUUCGAUCUCACGCAAACACAAAGUACGUCGGCAACACCAGGAUGUCGGCGUAAUCAAGAACUAACUGCCCAAAGAAAAGAAAAGCCAAAACAAGCUGAUGAUGAAGAGAGUAUCCUAGUUAUGUAAAUGCAAAGGCCCCCAAUUAGUAUCCUAGUUAUGUAAAAACCAAACAUGUGUACCUAAGUGGUUGCAGCAGCGUCCUUUUGUGAAUGGCAUGUGUUUUGUGCCAAAAUUGUGGUGGCAUUGAAACUUUAGUUUCAUGUGUUUAUAACUAUGUUUGGUGGCAACUUGUGAUAACAUUGUGAUA